AUGAAAGCGGGGGAUCGCAAGACCUCGCGCGAUUGGAGCGGCCGAUGUCAGAUUAGCUAGUUGGUGGGGUAAAGGCCCACCAAGGCGACGAUCUGUAGCUGGUCUGAGAGGACGACCAGCCACACUGGGACUGAGACACGGCCCAGACUCCUACGGGAGGCAGCAGUGGGGAAUUUUGGACAAUGGGCGCAAGCCUGAUCCAGCAAUGCCGCGUGCAGGAAGAAGGCCUUCGGGUUGUAAACUGCUUUUGUACGGAACGAAAAGGUCUGGGUUAAUACCCUGGGCUCAUGACGGUACCGUAAGAAUAAGCACCGGCUAACUACGUGCCAGCAGCCGCGGUAAU
rnacentral:rRNA from 1 species